GCGUGAGGGAUGAAGGCUCUGGGCUGUAAACCUCUUUUAUCAAGGAAGAAGAUCUGACGGUACUUGAUGAAUAAGCCACGGCUAAUUCCGUGCCAGCAGCCGCGGUAAUACGGGAGUGGCAAGCGUUAUCCGGAAUUAUUGGGCGUAAAGCGUCCGCAGGCGGUCAUGUAAGUCUGUCGUUAAAGCGUGGAGCUUAACUCCAUUUGAGCGAUGGAAACUGCAAGACUAGAGUGUGGUAGGGGCAGAGGGAAUUCCCGGUGUAGCGGUGAAAUGCGUAGAUAUCGGGAAGAACACCAGUGGCGAAGGCGCUCUGCUGGGCCAUAACUGACGCUCAUGGACGAAAGCCAGGGGAGCGAAAGGGAUUAGAUACCCCUGUAGUCCUGGCCGUAAACGAUGAACACUAGGUGUCGGGGGAAUCGACCCCCUCGGUGUCGUAGCCAACGCGUUAAGUGUUCCGCCUGGGGAGUACGCACGCAAGUGUGAAACUCAAAGGAAUUGACGGGGGCCCGCACAAGCGGUGGAGUAUGUGGUUUAAUUCGAUGCAACGCGAAGAACCUUACCAGCGUUUGACAUCCUGCGAAUCCCUUGGAAACGAGGGAGUGCCUUCGGGAGCGCAGUGACAGGUGGUGCAUGGCUGUCGUCAG
rnacentral:rRNA from 1 species